GUGCCAGCCGCCGCGGUAACACGUAGGGGACGAGCGUUGUCCGGAAUCAUUGGGCGUAAAGCGCGCGUAGGCGGCUCGGAAAGUCGGUCGUGAAAUCCUGGGGCUCAACCCCGGAACUGCGUCCGAUACUUCCGAGCUGGAGGCAGGUAGGGGAGAUCGGAAUUCCUGGUGUAGCGGUGAAAUGCGCAGAUAUCAGGAGGAACACCGGUGGCGAAGGCGGAUCUCUGGGCCUUGCCUGACGCUGAGGCGCGAAAGCUAGGGGAGCGAACAGGAUUAGAAACCCCGGUAGUCC
rnacentral:rRNA from 1 species